CCUACGGGCGGCUGCAGUGGGGAAUAUUGGACAAUGGGCGAAAGCCUGAUCCAGCCAUGCCGCGUGUGUGAAGAAGGCCUUCGGGUUGUAAAGCACUUUCAGUGGGGAAGAAAGCCUUGGGGCUAAUACCCUCGAGGAAGGACAUCACCCACAGAAGAAGCACCGGCUGAACUCCGUGCCAGCAGCCGCGGUAAUACGGAGGGUGCGAGCGUUAAUCGGAAUUACUGGGCGUAAAGCGCGCGUAGGCGGUCUGAUAAGCCGGUUGUGAAAGCCCCGGGCUCAACCUGGGAACGGCAUCUGGAACUGUCAGGCUAGAGUGCAGGAGAGGAAGGUAGAAUUCCCGGUGUAGCGGUGAAAUGCGUAGAGAUCGGGAGGAAUACCAGUGGCGAAGGCGGCCUUCUGGACUGACACUGACGCUGAGGUGCGAAAGCGUGGGUAGCAAACAGGAUUAGAUACCCCAGUAGUC
rnacentral:rRNA from 1 species